AAACUUUCAACAACGGAUCUCUUGGCUCUGGUAUCGAUGAAGAACGCAGCGAAAUGCGAUAAGUAAUGUGAAUUGCAGAAUCUAGUGAAUCAUCGAAUCUUUGAACGCACAUUGCGCCCCUUGGUAUUCCGAGGGGCAUGCCUGUUCGAGCGUC
rnacentral:rRNA from 1 species